rnacentral:tRNA from 1 species
AGCUCCGAGGUGUAUUACAUACAGGAUUGCAAAUCCUGAGUAGCAGGGUAGAACCUGCCGGGGCUU